GUUAAUCAGUGACCAAGGGAAGAUAGAGAGGUUAUCACUAUGCAAACUGUGCCAAGGUUCUGUAACAAUCAAGAACACGUGAACACCUACCUGUGGGAGGAGGCUUGGGGGCACACUGUUUCUGGUGCCUGCUGAAGCCAGCAUUCUGGAGAUGGACAGCCGUUCAAGGAAAUGAAGGGAGAUUUUGUAAAUUGCAGAUUCUAAGCAGGACAAGGACUGUUGCUUCCCUGAAUUGGCCUGCUUUCCCAGAGUAUCUUAAAAGGUCUCUUGAAACAAAUAAAAUCCUCAGAACUUCUGGGACUAUCACAGACAGUGUCCUGUUACUGGCUUUAAACAGUCCCUCAUGAGGAAGAAGCCCUAUAUCCUGAAGUCAGAUGUCAAUCAUCCUGGGAAGACUCAGCCAAGAAUACAUGCUUAGAAGAAAACUGUUUCAAGCAUCGUCAUUUUCGUGGAUGUAUCUGCACAGUCCUCCCUUUCCACAAACACCAACACUGAAGCCCCGACGCUGGGAGUCUCUGAAUUAAGACCCUGGAGAAGAAUUGCCAAAAGGAUUUACUUUUAAGGAAGCCCAUGAUCCUAUAAGAGUGAUCAUCAGUGUAAAUCAAAUCAAAAGACUUAGAUGCUCUCUCCAGCUCUCCAUCUCCCAACACCCAGAAGAGGUGUCAUAUGCGGUUUUUCCUCUGCACCACAUCUUCCAACUAUGAUGUCUAUCAUCAAAAAGUCCAGAGCAAUGAGAUCACAUCAUGGUGAACAGAUACCACCGUAACUCCCAGCAUAAAGAGAAAGCUUGACCCUAGACGUGGAGUGAAUUGAGUGUGCAGGUUCCUACGAGUUCACUGCGGUUCCAGUGGGGAUUGGGCAGGCUCCAAGCACUAAAUAACCCUAAUGAUAUCAGGACUGGUCCUGUUUGGUCCAUCUUAACACUGUUGGUUAACAGUGGACUCUGACUUUCAUGAGGAUGACUGGACAUCCUCUGGGAUGCCAGGAGGCUGCCCUUCCCUGCUUUGACUUUGUUCUGUCAGACUUGAUAAGAUUUUGACUUCCAGUUAAAACCUGCCAUCGGGUGUUCAGCAGGAGAGUGAAAGAGCGCCAAGCACACUGUACCAGCAUCAGAGGCUGAGCCUGCCAGCAGAACUGACUCUGAUGGAAAAGGGUGUCCUAGGGUGAGUGGACAGGAUUAAGAGCUGCUUUUGUUAGAACACCUGUGAAAGGUAGUUUCAUUCAGCGCAUAUGUCAUAAGCACACAUGUGUAAGACAGAACAGUCUUAGAUGAUACCAAAGUGGGACAGAUGAUACCCAUGUGUGAGUCUCCAGGAGGAUUCUGAGGCAUAGGGCUCUGGAAAUAAGCUGCCAGAUCUUAUCCUUGUGCCUCUAAUGAGAUUAUGGCCACUCCAUGACUACUCCAUCUCAUGAAAUAUUUUCAUCAUUUGGAAGACAGAAAUUAUUUUUUUUUACUAUUUCCACUUUCUGAAAUUGAAAAAAAAAAAGCUCUCAGGUGAAAUCCCUGAAGACACCAAGCUCUCUCUCUCUCUCUCUCUCUCUCUCUCUCUCUUUCUCAUGCUUAGAGGUCACUGGGCUGCCGGCAUCAUCUACCUCAGAAACAUCUCCCGCAGCAGUGCUCUCUGCCACUGUUACAGAAGAAGGCAAAAUUAUGAGCACUCAUGCAUCUGGUCAAUUACACACUGCUCCACCAACAAGGGAAAUUCCUUCUCCACUUCAGCUGGUGCACAGUGAUGCCCUGGAGCCCAGGACGGACAUGCCUUGUAACUUUUUAACCUAGUUAGUGUAACUGCCAAUAUUAUUCCCGUUCAUAUAAAUGUCUAAUCCUUUCUUGAAUCUUGCUAGACUAUUUCCCUCAAUAAUAUCCUGCAGCAGUGAAUUCCAAAGGUGCGUUAUACGCUGCUUUAAAAAUAUUUCCUCUAUUCGUUUAAAAUUUGUUGCCUUUUAACGUCGCAGCGUGGCCGGCACUCUGGCCUUAAGUGGAACAGGUUAAAGGCAGAGCUUCAUGUCUCCCCAGCACUUUCUCUGUCUUCUCUCAGUAUUUUCUGUCUUGUCACUUAUAAUUGUGAUUAAACGAGAUGAUUUGACUAAGUGGUUUUAUGCUACCUGGGACACAGAGAAGGCAUUGGCCCAAAAGCUUUCCUUGAUACUCAGUAUGAUUUAUUAAAUAAAUAUUUACCCAGUACCUAUUUGAGUAGGAACUGUUUCAGUUUUGGAGAGACAGCUUUGAAUAAGACUAGGCCAUUGUUCAGUGGGACCUGACUUUUCUUGAGAGGAAAUGGGCAGUAACGUGUGUGUAAAUUAUUAGGUGCCAUUUCAGGGUCAAAAAAGAUCUAUCCAUCCUCCACAUCCUCAAACUGUACCAGACUUGGCCUGGUUUCUUGCUGUUCCCCCCCCCCCAAAUCUGUAGCACUAUAAUUAUUUACAUAGCAUUUACAUUGCAUUAAGUAUUACAAGCUAUCUGCAAAUGAUUAACGUGCAUGCAAGCAUGUGCAUAAAUUAUAACAAGUUCCAUAUCAUGCAAUGGAAGGAACUUCAACAUCGUGUGAUUUCAGGUUCCUUGGGUGAGGGAGUGGUUUUUUUUUGAAAAGGGGGUAGUUGGGCCAGGCCAUCUAUCAGUCAUCUAUGUGACAUCUGUGGCUCUGUGUUAUUUGUUGAGUAUGCGAAUGAAUCCAGAUGAAGAUAGGUCAUUUUAGUUAACGUUGUCACACAAGAUCUGGAAGGAAAAGUUCUCUAAUGCUUCUUAUAACUCCCAAUCGUGUUGGAGUACACAAAGGAAGGGAUUUAGACAGAAAGAUUCCAGUUGCAAGACCUAAGGUGCUCUGUCUAAGCAGCUGAGUGACCUUGGGCAGGUCACCUCUGCUCAAAUCCACAGCAUUCUUCUUCAUAAAAAUAGGAAGUAAGUUUUCUUCUUUCUUGGGGCUUUGAGUACUUAGGGACCAUUAUCUGAAAAUUCUUUUUUUUUCUUUCAUCUUUAAUCAAUUUUUUUUUUACAGUCCAGUCAUUAUCCCCCUCAGGGUCUGCCCUUCCACAGUUCCUCAUCCCAUUCUUCUUCCCUUGUCUCCAGAGGAUGUAGUCACCCUCCCACCUACCUCUCCAAGCCUCCCCAUUCCCUGGGUCAUGGAAGUUCUUUAAAAACUGCCAAAUGGUGUAAAUGCUGUAGAACUUUGGUCCUUUAUUUUAUUUAAAAAUUUGUUUCUAGAUAAGGUCUUGAGUAAUCCAGACUGACUUCAAAUUCAUUCAAAAGCUGGGGAUGGCCUUGAACUCCUGAGUUCCCUCAUCUGCCUCUGUGUACCUCCAUGUCCCUUUAUGCGGUGCUGGGAGUCGAAGCCAGGACUUCCUACAUUCUAGGCACUUUUCCAACUAAGCUACAUCCUACAGCUGAGAGACCUGGUUAUCCUUGCAAUUGUUCUUCCACAGGAUUCAUUUCAGGCAUGUGCAGGAAACCACACCCACAGCUGCACCAAACAGCUGGUCUUUCAUUCUUCCCUUUUUGUCUUCCUUGUUUUAUCAGUUCCCUAACUUAUCCUUGCCUUUCCUGACAGCGCAUCAAUGGCACCUUGGGAGUGCCCACCCACCCUCACAGCUAACUUUGGGCAUCUUCCUGAGCUUGUGAUCUGUUUUUUUUUGNNNNNNNNNNNNNNNNNNNNNNNNNNNNNNNNNNNNNNNNNNNNNNNNNNNNGUUUAAUGCUUCAUCAUCUUGGGUCAGGUUAUCCAGACGUCUACACAGAAAGGCAGAGUCUUUGCCUGAAUUUCUGAGUGAAUCCCUCCCUAGAAACCACACUUUGACCCAAUUACCUGUCUCUAGCUUUCCCAGGACUACAUUCCAAUGUGGUAAGUAUAUACCAUUUCCUUGUGUAGCCUCUCAUGAUUCUUUCCAAUUGUUCCUUAAUGCACCCCUCCCCGGCCACCUUACUGAGGCAAUUUGAAGUAGAGUCAUGCACAACCCCACAUAAUCUUGUAUUUAAAAGGCAUCUCAAUAAAUUAUUAGGAUUGUUUACACGCAUGGUUCAAAUUUACUGGCAAAUGGCUUGGGCCUUGGUUUUAGGAUGUAGCUGCGAGCCAGGCUCCUUCUGGGUGAAAGUCUGAAAUAGGAGAGGUUGCCCUUUGCUGUCCCUCACCAGCACUUCCUCUCCCUGGUUCCUGGCCUUUCAACACCUCCCUCCUUUCCCUGCCCUGAAUAACUCUGAGGGGCUGACAUGCCUUUUGCACCUUCAUGUGAAGACGUUUUGUGGGUCCCUUCCCAGAUCUGCCCCCAACCAAGGUGAGGUGCGCAAAGAAAUAAAUCUUCAAUGGUAUAAUUUUAGAUGCUCCGGCAGCUGAGAGGGCAGCUAUUUUUGGGCUGUAGGGCUUUCUCCUUGACCCGAGGUGACACGGUUUUGCCUGUUGCUAGAGUAGCCAGCCAGCCCUGCAGAGCGUCCUUUUAGCCGCAUGCUUGCAGUUCCUGGGAUGGCCUCUUCAUGCCCUCUACUGAGGUCCGUGCUCAUCCAGAAUUUUGUGUCCUCACCUCCUGCAGGGGUAAGCGUCUGUUGACAGGAGCCGAGGUAGGCUUGUUGCAGCGUUAACACUGCAGCCCAGCCUGAGGAGGCAAUAUAGAUGGAGCUGACCCCCUCCAUGCAGAAGAUGGAGGAAAACUGAUGGUCCAGUUCUUGUGUGUUCCUCAGUCUCCAUGGUUUAUCAGUUGCUUGGCCACCGUGCUAUGAGUCACCCCUACUUGGAUCCAGGCUCCUGAUGCAGCUGCUAUCUGCAGACCUCCUGGACUGUCAGGGGAAGGGAGUGGGAGCUCCUGCCACAGAUGGGUGGAACAUCGACAAGAAGGGCUAAAGGUGGCCAAAAAUAACAGUGCCUUCCAGAUGAGGUGACCUCAGAGCCAAGAGCAUCAUGGGGUAGAGUAUCUUGUUCCCAGUUUUAUGACCUAAAAAGUACACAGAAGAUGCAAAGAUACUACAGAGAGAAGGAACAAAGUCUGCAGAGAACAGGGAAAGGCGAUUAGGUAUCAUAUUUUUUUUAAAUAGGAUUUUGUGGUACAUGACCACAAAAUAAAACACAGCCUUUUAUACAUGUUUGAAGAGAGAGCUAGAGCUAUAGAUAGAUAGAUGAUAGAUAGAUUAAUAGAUAGAUGCUCAAUAGAUAGAUGAUCAAUAGAUAAGGAGGUAGGUAUAUAGAUAGAUGAUAGACAGAACCAAACACAAUAGAAGACCAAAAGGAGAAAAAGAUGGAGAUGAUAUUGCCUUCCUUUGUUUGCUAUUGAAACAAACUUAAUAAAUCCUCAUUGAGACUCAA
ensembl:processed_transcript